AUUGAACGCUGGCGGCAGGCCUAACACAUGCAAGUCGAACGAGUGGCGGACGGGUGAGUAAUGUCUGGGAAACUGCCUGAUGGAGGGGGAUAACUACUGGAAACGGUAGCUAAUACCGCAUACCAUCAGAUGUGCCCAGGUGGGAUUAGAUUGUUGGUGGGGUAACGGCUCACCAAGGCGACGAUCCCUAGCUGGUUUGGGAGGAUGACCAUCCACACUGGAACUGAGACACGGUCCACACUCCUCCGGGCGGCAGCCGUGGGGCCUAUUGCAAUCUGUGCGCAAGCCUGAUGCAGCCAUGCCGCGUGUAUGAAAACGUCCUUCCGUUUGUAAAGUACUUUCAGCGGGGAGGCGUUACCCGCAGAAGAAGCACCGGCUAACUCCGUGCCAGCAGCCGCGGUAAUUC
rnacentral:rRNA from 1 species